CUGAGCGCAUGUCUCAGUGAUACAGAGCAGGAUACCCUGCUUCUUCAGUCAGACGGCCUCACAUCUGUAACACUUGCUCCUGCUUUUUCCACCAUUUCUGAGGCUGAUGAUGAAUGACACAGGUGUUGACCGGAAGUCAGUCUCUGUUUUGGAUAUUGUCUCUAAACUUGAAGAUGGCAAGGGAAGAGGAAAACCUAUGCAGAAAUACGGGAUGCGGCGUCAACCUGAGAAGGAAGCCCCUGUUGUGCAGAAUGCUCCUUGUUGUAUGUUCACUUGCCCACACACUACCAGAUCUCAAGCAACUGUUCUGCAAUGGAAACAACCCAAAGUCCACAGAGAGCACCUUGAAAAGAAAUCUGAAACUAAACAAGUACUGCAGGGUUCUGGAGUUCCAAGAGUCGAGAUUCCAGGCCUUAUUUCUAGGAAUAAUCUGAAGAUAAAAGACAGCCCUCAACUUUUUAAAAAUCCUGUGAAGCACCCAGAAACACUUUCAGUCAACAGUGAAGACCACUGGAGGGGCCUACAGUCAUUUCGGAAACGACUCUCCACCAUGAAGCUUGUCAGGAGGGAUGCAACACUGUCCAUCACAGAGGAAGGCACUAAGACAGCCACAAAGGAAACGAAUGAAGAAAAACUGUUCAAAAUUUCCCAGGAACUUCUAGACACAGAGAAGGCCUAUGUCAGUCGCCUGCACUUGCUCAAUCAGGUGUUUUAUGCUGAGCUACUAGCAGAGGCUCGCUCAGGCGGCUCCUUUCCAGAAGAUGUUGUCAAGCAGAUCUUCUCCAACAUCUCCACCAUCUACCAGUUUCAUAGCCAGUUCUUCCUUCCAGACUUACAGAAACGAAUGGAUGAAUGGGCAACAAACCCACGCAUAGGAGACAUCCUGCAGAAGCUGGCACCUUUCCUUAAGAUGUAUGGAUUAUAUGUCAGAGGGUUUGACAAAGCCAUGGACCUGAUAAAUAUUUGGAUGGAGAAGUCUUCCCAGUUUGAGGAAGUCAUCUUGGGCAUACAGAAGCGGGGCAUUUGCGGAAAUCUGUCUUUGCAGCACCACAUGCUGGAACCUGUGCAGAGGAUUCCGCGAUAUGAGAUGCUGCUCAAGGAUUAUCUCAGUAAACUGCCUGCUGGCUCUGUCGAUCGACCAGAUGCAGAAAGGUCUCUGACUAUCAUUUCUGAGGCGGCAAAACAUUGUAAUGCUGCCAUUGAUGACAUGGAGCAGCUGGAGAAGCUAUGGGAGGUCUAUGAGAUGCUGGGUAUGGACGAGGAGAUGGUGGAUCCCUCCAACAAACUCCUUAAAGAAGGAGCCGUCAUGAAAAUCUCCUUUCGUAGCAGCAGCUCCUGCAAAGAGAGACACCUCUUCUUGUUUAACAACAUGCUGCUGUACUGUGUACCAAAGUUCAGUCUGGCGGGACCCAGGUUUAUCGUCCGUACUCGGCUUGACAUGGAUGGAAUGCAGGUCAAAGAGCUGAAGGAUGCGCAGUUUCCCCAUUCAUUCCUUGUCUCUGGAAAACUGCGAACUCUGGAACUGCAAACCAGGUCACAGGAUGAGAUGGAAGCCUGGAUUAAGGCUUGCCAACAGGCAAUUGACCAGAAUGAGAAGAAAACUGAAAGUUUCAAAGCAGCCAUCAGCAGCAUGAGCGAAGACCAUCAGAGAGUCCCGGUGAAAGGCCAAGAGCUAGGAAAGCGUGCCCCCCAGUGGGUCAGAGACAACUUGGUGUCCAUGUGCAUGCGCUGCAAAGAACCUUUCAACGCCAUCACCAGGAGACGCCACCAUUGCCGGGCCUGUGGAUAUGUGGUGUGCUGGAAAUGCUCGGACUACAAAACCAGCCUUGAGUAUGAUGAAAUGCGGCUCAACAGAGUGUGCCUGGAGUGCUACACCCUCCUGGAAGGCCAAACCAACAAGAAGGAGAAAGAAGAAAGGAGGAGGAGAGGGAUCCUGGAGGUUCGAACCUCUCCAUGUAUUGAACUUUGUGUUUUAAUCUGAGCGGGCUUUGCAGCAAAACAGUCAUGUUGGGGACAUUAUGAUCACAUGCAGCUGUGAAGGCUGCUAUUAUCAAAUGCUGGAGUAAUAUUGUACUGACCCUACACCUUAUUGCACAUCUCAAGAACCCCACACAGGCCUCCUGAGGCAUUACCAUGUGUUGUGGAUGGUAGGCACAAAAAACUUGGUUCUCUCUGAGAAUUUUCGAUUGCAAAAUGGUCGUAAUGCACAAUGGGUCAGUAUCAUAGUCUUACAGCCUUCUUGGUGUUGGUCAGAUAUGUGUUGAAGGCAUUCAUAGUGUGACAAGUGUAGAGUGCAUAGCAGCCACUCAUCCUGACACAGACAGACACAGGAGGCACUUAUAAAAGCACAAAUGUUUUUUUUGUUUUUCUUCACCUUGUGAGAAAAGCCUUCCCCAUUUCCCACAAGCACAACACAGUCCCACUAAGCACAAGCACCACACAAUACUUUUCUUUCUCCUCCACUCCUCCUCAGCAAGCUUCGUCUCCCUUCUCCCAACUCUGGCUCACUGAGUAGCCUCUGUUGGCCCCUUAUAUAAGUCACCCGGAAGUGCUCCACACAGGCUCUAGAGCAGCUGCAGCACCCCCUGGUGGUGCCCCCAGAUCCCAACAGGGCUGUAUCCAAGCCCUGCGGGAGUCCAAGGCAUCGGUGCCACCCAGGGGUGCCGCCAUCUAGCAUUCCGGGGAAGGUAAUGCUCUGUCCACACUUGCUCCCCUGGUCAUGCCAAGGAAAAGGCGUCCUGGCCGGGUAAGGGCUCCGGCCAUCCAUGACAAUAGAUUUGAGAUUGACAAGAAAAAUAACUGUGGUUGGAAUCUUUUGGCUUCCAGUGCCAUUUCAAUUGCACCUUUCAUACUCAAGUGUAUCUUGUACUUGAUGGUGCAGCUUUCAGAGAUUUUACAUGCUGCUAAUCCUGCAGAGAGAUAUUCUAGUGAUGUUACUAUGAAUGAAUAUCGCCAGGUUAUACAACAAUCCAAGACAAAUUGAAAAAAAUCGCUUUUUUAUUUAUUUUUUUACUUUUUUCAUUUUGAUCCUGAAUUUUAAAAAUUUAAUUCCAUGUCAAAUUCCAAAAUGUAAAUGCAUGGAAUAUGUUGCCACGUAUUAUAGAGGUAUUUCACACCAUGGAGAUAAUCAAAUAUCAACACAACAAUUCUUUGGAAACUGGAAAUGGCAUGAUAAGCUGGGCUAAAUACUCUUGUCAACAUGAUUUUCUAACCUUUUUUUCUCUAUUUUCCUUUCAUAACCAAUUGACACGAAAGGAUAAAAGUAUUUAUUGGUCAUAAAUAUGCAAUUAUGUCGCCUUAAUUAAAAUAGUGUCUGGGGGAAACACUUCAUAUUAUGCUCAACAAAAUUAAAUAAGAAUGAAUACUGCCCUUAAAUAAUAGACAGUUGUAAGAUGAGUCCACAUGAGCCUACUUCUGUCAUAUGACACUAUGUGGUCAGAAUGAGCAACUACCUAUAUAAACUAUCUCUUAUAGUCAAAAAUCACCACAACGUUAAAUUAAAAAAAAAAAAAAAUUAAUACGAAAUUUGUCAGGCUUGGUUGAGAUGUAUUUCAAGAAAGGACAAUGGACCUUGGUUGGAAACAGUUGCUCAUCAACAAUAAUAUGUUGCCGUCGGUUGUAACUCAAAACACAGUUCUCAAGAAAAUGUUGACAGAAGUCCGAGAUCACAGCAAAUCUGUCGUUUUUCACACGUUCUGCAUGGGUGUCUUUGUUGUCAAAGCACAAAUGCCACAUCACAGUCUGAUAGCGGUCACAGAGCAUUGUUUCUUUGAUUGCCAGUACAACAAUAGUUCUAACCAGGCACCAACCACAGCACCAAAUGUGGUCAUUGCUGCUCUUGUGAAAAGAAUGCCUCUGCCACUUGAGACAGGCCAAGAUGAGCACAAGAUGACCCAGACCCUGUCUCUUGGGACAUUAAAAUAACAGCAAUUCAGAGAUGUUUGGAUGUUGUACAUCAAAAGUAAAGAUAUGCAUUGUAACAUUCACAUUUACUUGCCAAAAGUAUUGUGUUUUUAACAAGUUCAAUAACAAUGUUCUUAAUAGAAUGUUCUUAAUAAUCCCUAGUUCUGCAUCAAUUCACACUUUGUACUGCUGGUUGUCCAGGCACUGCAUGAUGGUACAUUGCUAUUGUUCUCUCCACUCAGAGAGACCAGCAAAAAGAAUGUUUUUGAGGUUCUGCAUUUCAGUCAGCCAUGCCUCAAGUUCACAUUCACUGAAAUUUUAUUUCCUUCUUCCAUGGUUUGUCGUGAAGAUGUCACUCAGGAACAUCUAUAUGGUGAUUAGAUCAUGAACAUUCAAUAAAGGUGUUUUUAUGCCAUAUAUGGUUAUUGAUGGGAAGUGACAUACUUCACUAGUAUGAAAUCUAGUGUAGUGUUGUGUAGAGUGACAUUAUUUUCCCUUUUAUAUAAUUUAUUGUGUGGACUUGACCAAAACACCUCAAAUCCAACUCUGUGGUCAGAUCCACUACUUCUGUCUGUCUUAAAAUGCUUAGCUGGUGACUGGAAGUGGUGGUUGAUCACACAACCAAUAUGCUGCUGUAGGUGCUGUAAGUUUUUGGAUGUUGCUCAAGAUGCCUUUCCAUGCUUUAUGGUCCAUGGCAACUGUUCUGGCAUGAUUGAGGUUGAGGCGUUGGCUCUACAAGUCUUGAAGUACAUGUUUGAACCAAGUUUUCUUCUGUGCAGUUCGUUGUUAUCUCCAUUGGGGGGGACCUCCUCCACAGGAGUUGAUUUGGUGUGCAGUCUGGACCCAAUCGGCAGACAUGACCAAAUUAUCUUAGUCGCUGCUGCUGGAUUGGUUCAUCUACAGUCAGUUGUUGUGCACAUGUUGUUCGGAUGACUUUGUUUUGGAUAUGAUCGGAAAUUGAAAUGUGGAGAAUCUGUCGUAGAGAUUGCAUUUGAAAUACCUCAGUUGGUUCAGGUCUGAUUGAAGUAAUGUCCACAUCUCAUAGAGCACAAUCGGCAAGAUAAGUGUGUGAAAGAGACGAAUUUUGGUGUUUAGGGUGAUGUUGAUCUUCUUCCACAGGCACCACUUGAGUGGGGUAGAUGCUGCAGUGGCCUGUCGAGUCUUACUGCGGAUCUCCAUGGUUGAUGAUACUUUGUUCUCUUAGACCAGUGACCCCAAGUACUUAAAUUCCUGGGCUUGUUUGAUCUGUAGUCCCUCAAGGUGGACAAUGGACUGCAACCCAUCUGUCACUAGAACCUUGAUCUUGUCAGCAUUGAUCUUUAGGCCAUAUGAGUGGGUUGUAUGGGUGACAGAGAAAAGAAUAUCAGUUGCCUCUGCGUCAUCAUCUGUGAAUAUGGUGCUAUCGUCAGUGAACAUUAGGUCUGUCAGAAAGUAAUCCUCAUUAUAUUUCUCUCCAUGCUUACCCUUGAGUGCCUUCCUCAUGAUUUCAUCGAUUGAAUUUGAUCCAAUUUCAAUUCAAAUACAGUUUUUUGCCUGGUUUUCCCAAUUUCCUGGCUCUGGUCAUUUCAACAGAAUGACCACAAUCCUCCUUUUGCAGCCGGGCUUGGGACUGUCCUUGGUAGAAUUAAACCAUCCUUGGCGGAGUUACCCAUAACCUCAGGCAAUUAGACAGAGUGAUUAAAAAAAAACCUGGCGGUAUAAAGAGCUACACUUUUAACUAUAUCUCUACUCUAUAUAUAUAAAAUCCUUAACCUUAAAGGGCAACGUUUUUGUGUAACGAUUUAAUGUGACAUUUUUUGUCACGGUUUACAUUGGGCUUAUUUUUUUUUAAAACCUACAUAUAUAUGUUUGGUAUCAUUCUUUUCAGAAUUUAUUGAACUUUAAUGUGAUGUUGUUAGAUUUUCAGAUUUUUAUUCCAUUUUAAAUUAUAAACUAAAAAAUAUCAAGAACUCACAUCCCCUGAGACGAGACUUUGUGCCAAGAGAUUUAACCACGUUCGGGGCCAGAAAUAAGAGACAAAGAGUAGGACAGCUGCUGUACAGCAGCUGAUAAGGCAAAGAGGAGGUAAAAAAAAAACGAUUUGUUUCUCAUUUUAUCAUCAUUUAAAAGGGGGUUUCGGAGGAGCGACCGUGUCUCCUUGGGGGUGCGUUCAGCCCCCCUCUUCACAAUGCGAAUGGCAGAGAUGUAAAGUGGCUCUGUAGCGCAGGCCGGAGGUGGUUGGUGAGCAAAGCGAGCAUGGAGAACCCCCUAGUUAUAGGUAUUCAAUUGUAUUAUAGGUAGUGCUGUACAGGCAAAUAGAAUGUGGCUUUUAAACCAAGACCAUACAGCCUUAUAGUACUAGAUGUGUAAUUUCAGGUGGUGCAAUAAUUUAUAAUUGUAUUUAAUUCUUCCUGGUCAGCUCAUCAUCUGCACAGGCCCAGGCAGCCUGCUUUCUUCAGGACAUCAUCUGGUCUGUUUUCAUUAAGAUGAUACAUGGCAGAGAAAGAGCAUGCCUUUUCAAGCCUCUUUUUGUAUUGUCCCUACAUAGCUCCUGACAACCACACCUUUCUGGGCCGUCCGAAAAUGGAAUAGCUCAGGCACGGCUCAUCCGCCAGUUGUUUUGUUUAGGCAGUUUAUGGCCUUGCUGCAGGGAAUGAUUCUAAGACCAAAUAGAGUUACAUUUGCCAAGCUGGACUGAUAUUCCUUUUCCCCCCCUGCCAUAAAUUUCAUAUCCUGGCUCCAUCCUAAAAACUGGUGGGGGAGUUGGUUAGGUAAACAUCAAAGCACUGCUGUUCUUAUUAAUAAAGCAAAACACGCCUCUUGAAUCACAAGUUAUGGUUUGUCUAGCUUACAAAUAAAGGCAUACAAAAUGUUUAUCAACUUAUAUGCUAGAUAUCACUCCACCACAGCAAGGUUUUAUACACAAGGCACCGAGAGUAGUGUGCUGCCAUCUUAAGUAAUUUCUGGGUAAUGACAUCAUGACAUCUCACUUCUGAUGUCACAAUAGCAGUAGCAAUGGCAAUGUAUUACUAGUAACAGGUAGUUAAGCUAUGAAAUUGCUGUGCAAUAAUUAAACAGCCAAUAAACUUACAAAUAAGAGCAAAAAAAAAGGAAUAAAAAUAAUAACUAAACAUUACACGUCACCUGUAGCUUUAGUUGUUCCUUUUUCUCAGGAAGCCUGGCUGCUCUGGACUGAAUGGUGGCUCUGUGUUCACACUUGCUGUGCACUGCAGUGAUUUUUAGCACCUUGCUGUCACCAGCUGAGUACACUUUGUGACUAAGCAAGCCUUUUAUGUUUAAAGGGCGUAGUGAGACGUCAAGAAAAUGACACCUUUUAUCGACUAACUGAAAGAUUACAAUAUGCAGGCUUUCAUGCCAACUCAGGCCACUUUUUCAGUCAAGAUGUAAUCAGUGUAAUCAUAAUCAUGUAAUCAUUUACAUCUUGCUUGAAAAAGGGGCCUGAGUUGGCUCAAAAGCUUGCAUUUUGAAAUGGCCAAUAAAAGGUGUCAUUUUGCUUGACUUCACACUACAACUAUAAUGGCUAACAUGGUAGGACAACAUAGUAAUAAGUUUAAAGGGGAACAUUUUAGAAGAAUUCAAAACAUCAAAUGACAAUUAGAUAAGCCUUUAAUACCUAUAGUGGCAGCUCUUCACUUAUGAACUUAUGAAUCAGCUAAAGAUGUUUUAAUAUAUUUUGUAGAUUAUAUUAGAUUAUUUAUUAUUUAUUGUUUCUACUUGCAAAUAAAAUUUUGCAACUCUGAAACUUCAUCAGGACCGGGUGUAAUGCUGAACAGAAUUGAAAAGACAGCAAGGCCUGAACCUUCUUGUAUAAAAAAAAACAUGCAAUAAACAUGAACAUUUUUCACACUCAUCUGUCCUGUGAAUUCUUUAGUGUUAAUUAAUGUGAUCGUGAUACAGUUCCUGUUAAAGAAUGAUAGUUUGUGCAGCAUACAUACUAACUGAAUUAUAGCACAUCGUCUGACAUCCAUUUCUGAUCUAUGAAGCAGCAGUUUUAGCACAAAUUGAACGU